rnacentral:rRNA from 1 species
UACGAAGGGGGGCUAGCGUUGUUCGGAUUUACUGGGCGUAAAGCGCGCGUAGGCGGGUCACUAAGUCAGGGGUGAAAUCCCGAGGCUUAACCUCGGAACUGCCUUUGAUACUGGUGACCUGGAGAUCGGGAGAGGUUGGUGGAAUUCCGAGUGUAGAGGUGAAAUUCGUAGAUAUUCGGAGGAACACCAGAAGCGAAGGCGGCCAACUGGCCCGAUACUGACGCUGAGGCACGAAAGCGUGGGGAGCAAACAGGG